CACAAUCUCACCUGAGUGACUGGAAGACCUAGACCCCAUUUAAAGGCUGACUCCCAAGGAGGAAGGGUCUCUAUCUGGAGAUCACUCCUCUUGGAGCCCUUCUGUGUGCCCAGGACACAGGCAAGGUGAAGAGAGGUGAAGCAGUGAGCUCAAGGCAAAAUGGUAAAGUGAAAGCAGAGCACUGGAGUCCAUUUCAGUGUCAUCAUGAUGAGCCGAGCCAAUGUGAAUGUGCAGAUUUAUAAUGAAGUGCCAGGGAAGAAGUUUCUCUGGAGAUCCAUCCAGCCAUGGACUGUUUUGUUUUUUUCUUCAAACCUCAUCUGCUGGAGAUGGCUCCUUUUGAUAAACGGAGGACUGGGCAUUGGGGCACACCUGGGAAGAUGGAUAUGGACACGUGUGCCCGAGAGAAGGAUUAUUUUCUGUCAUAAUGGGGCUGUUUCAAAGACAGAC
ensembl:lncRNA